UCGAGCGGAUGAAAGGAGCUUGCUCCUGGAUUCAGCGGCGGACGGGUGAGUAAUGCCUAGGAAUCUGCCUGGUAGUGGGGGACAACGUUUCGAAAGGAACGCUAAUACCGCAUACGUCCUACGGGAGAAAGCAGGGGACCUUCGGGCCUUGCGCUAUCAGAUGAGCCUAGGUCGGAUUAGCUAGUUGGUGAGGUAAUGGCUCACCAAGGCGACGAUCCGUAACUGGUCUGAGAGGAUGAUCAGUCACACUGGAACUGAGACACGGUCCAGACUCCUACGGGAGGCAGCAGUGGGGAAUAUUGGACAAUGGGCGAAAGCCUGAUCCAGCCAUGCCGCGUGUGUGAAGAAGGUCUUCGGAUUGUAAAGCACUUUAAGUUGGGAGGAAGGGUUGUAGAUUAAUACUCUGCAAUUUUGACGUUACCGACAGAAUAAGCACCGGCUAACUCUGUGCCAGCAGCCGCGGUAAUACAGAGGGUGCAAGCGUUAAUCGGAAUUACUGGGCGUAAAGCGCGCGUAGGUGGUUUGUUAAGUUGGAUGUGAAAUCCCCAGGCUCAACCUGGGAACUGCAUCCAAAACUGGCAAGCUAGAGUAUGGUAGAGGGUGGUGGAAUUUCCUGUGUAGCGGUGAAAUGCGUAGAUAUAGGAAGGAACACCAGUGGCGAAGGCGACCACCUGGACUGAUACUGACACUGAGGUGCGAAAGCGUGGGGAGCAAACAGGAUUAGAUACCCUGGUAGUCCACGCCGUAAACGAUGUCAACUAGACGUUGGGAGUCUUGAGCUCUUAGUGGCGCAGCUAACGCAUUAAGUUGACCGCCUGGGAGUACGGACGCAGGAUAAAACUCAAAUGAAUUGACGGUGGCCCGCACACGCGGUGGA
rnacentral:rRNA from 1 species